GACACAAAUUGCUCAUGAAGAGAUCAAGAUGCUGAAAACUGCCGAAAUUGCCUUCAAUCACAUGUACUUCAUCGAUGGAAAGUGAAUUACCUUAGUUUAAUGGGGUUAGCUAAAUGUAAUCCCUGAUAAAAGUAUUUCUAAAUUGGUAGACUUCUUAAUGCUUCAGCAUUGGUUGUGCUCGAAGAUCAAGAUAUGAAUUUGUCUCAAUAUAAUGUUAACGAAGGGUUGGGGUUAGAUCUGUCCAUCCAGUUUAUUGUUUUUCCUUGCUUAAUUACUCUGUUGCCACUGGAAAUAACUUGUCUAAAUUUAGAAUGGUGAAUUUUGU
rnacentral:misc_RNA from 1 species